rnacentral:rRNA from 1 species
AGCAGCCGCGGUAAUUCCAGCUCCAAUAGCGUAUAUUAAAGUUGUUGCAGUUAAAAAGCUCGUAGUUGAAUUUCGGGGUUAGUAGGUUGGUCGUGCCACUGGUAUGUACUGGCCCUACUGAUCCCUCCUUCUUGUAGAACCGUAAUGCCAUUAACUUGGUGUUGCGGGGAAACAGGACUGUUACUUUGAAAAAAUUAGAGUGUUUAAAGCAGGCUAACGCUUGAAUACAUUAGCAUGGAAUAAUGAAAUAGGACGCUCGAUCCUAUUUUGUUGGUUUCUAGGAUUGACGUAAUGAUUAAUAGGGAUAGUUGGGGGCAUUAGUAUUCAAUUGUCAGAGGUGAAAUUCUUGGAUUUAUUGAAGACUAACUACUGCGAAAGCAUUUGCCAAGGAUGUUUUCAUUAAUCAAGAACGAAAGUUAGGGGAUCGAAGACGAUCAGAUACCGUCGUAG